GCCGGGGUGGCCGAGGGGUUAGGCAGCGGGCUGCAGACCCGCUUUACGCCGGUUCAAAUCCGGCCCCCGGCU
rnacentral:tRNA from 1 species